rnacentral:misc_RNA from 1 species
GCCUCUCUCUACUCUUCUUCGCGGACUUCAUCAACAGCACGCGCACUUCCCCACUUAACACUAAAUUCGCGACACACACCCCUUUUUCAGUACAUCCCGAUGAACUCUCCUACAAGCACACCUCCCGCGUGCUACGAUGCCGAGGUUCAGCUGUACAUGGACAAGGAGGACCCGGAAGGGGUCCCCAUUCAAAACCAAAUGCACGAGGAAGAGCAGGGACAGCUCGAGGGUAAAAGGAACUUCACGUCGCAGAACAGGUGGCCCCUGUACAAAUACCGAUGGUGGCUACGCGAGUAUGUUGCCGAGUUCUUCGGCACGUUUUUCCUCGUCACCUUUGGAACCGGCGUCAUUGCUACCACUGUCUUUCACGCCGGUAACGCUGCAAGCUACCAGUCCAACUCCAGCUACAUGGCCAUCACCUUUGGCUGGGGGUUUGGGCUCACUAUCGGCCUUUUCCUGAGCAUGGCGGUGUCGGGUGGUCACCUGAACCCAGCUGUGACGCUGGCGAACUGUGUCUUUGGUGCCUUUCCCUGGAUUAAGCUACCCGGCUAUUUUCUCGCCCAAUUUCUCGGAGGCUUGGUUGGUGCCGCCAACACCUACGGGCUCUUCAAAUCGCACUUUGACGACGCCCAAAAGGCCUUGCUUCCGAACGAGACGAUGGCGUCCAAGUACAGCGGAAUCUUCGCCACAUACCCUAAUGUUGCAAACACCUACGCAGUGUGGAGUGAGGUGUUCAAUACCAUGGCGCUCAUGAUGGGCAUUCUCGCCAUCACGGAUCCUCGCAUGACUCCCGCCGUCAACUACAAGCCGGUGGCUAUUGGACUACUGUUGUUUGUCAUUGGCAUCACAUCAGGCAUCAACUCUUCCUAUGGCCUCAACCCCGCACGCGACUUGUCACCUCGCAUACUCUCGGCCAUGCUCUGGGGCUCAGAGCCUUUCACGUUGUACAGCUACUACUUUUGGAUACCUCUAGUCGCGCCGUUUGUUGGCGCCCUUCUCGGCAUGUUCUUGUAUGUCUUUUUCAUCAUUCCACCCAACUUCUAGACGUGCUUCGCUACCCCUGCUCUCUAUGCUGGGUGUACAAACACCACAGCUCGUGCUGACUGACCAUUUACUCUUUCCGAUUUAUUAUUAUUAUUAUUUUUCUCUGCUUUCCCUCUGCCUUUAUGACGCGAGCCACCUCACCGUUGUAUCAGGGUUCCGUGCCCACUCUGCGGGAACGUCGAAAGCCUGCACCCUGCCAUCGCCUCGGCGGACAGGCUUGGGCUGACACUGUACCGGAGACACUCGCGGCUACGAUGCUGUUUCUAUCAUCUCGCUGCCAGUCGUUUCGACGACUCAGCAAGCAUGCGCUUCCAAUCAUUGCCCUUCUGCUUUUGCGGCGCUUCGGUAAUACCGAGCGUGAUUCUGGACCUGGCCUGCGCUGUAUGCAGCGGAAUCACGGUUUGCUGCACCACACGAAAGGGUGCUAGUCAUCCCGUCUCGAUACUGCCGUCGUGCAGCAGCCGUAGGUGACCUGCUAUUUUAAGGGUCAGUUUGUUGACUUUCUUGCGAGAGAUGAACACGCGUUGCCAAAUAAAAAAAGAGCAUGCUCUCUCUCUCUCUCUCUGCUGUGGUCCAUUUGCGUUUAUGCUGCUUUCUUUACCAUUUUCUUCUCAGCCUGCUGGUGCUCUAUUUUUGUGCAGAAGGGUGAACUUUUCGCCCGUAAGGGAGCGACAUGGUAGCCAACGACAACUUUCUACAGCCUGUGUGAUGUCUGCUCUGCUUCGUGCUGCUGCACUCUCAAGGAUACGGAGGCUAUUCGGCCUAUCUACACAUUUGCUUUGGCGUCGGGUGCACAGUGAAGUUUGUGUGCGUGUGUGUGUGCUGUCAGCAAUCAAUACGCAUACCUUUCAAAAAAGGUGUGCUGGCCUCGUCCACAGCACCGUUUUCCUCCUACGUGGCGUAUUCUCCGAGGAUUCAAUGCGUUGGCUUUUGCCUGUGUCCGCGAAAGUAUAUAUUGGCUGUAGUGCAUGUCUUUGGUGCGACUACCGCCGUAUACUGCUAUGCUUUGACAUUUUGAGGAGCUCCCUCGAGGAAAAAGAAGCGAAAAACAAAACGCCGUUAAGAACUCCCGUGACCGUUUGAGCAGACUCGGCAGUGAAAACGACGAGUCUGGCAAAUGGGCUUUCCUUUUUUUUUUUCAUGCUCACCUGUAUGAUUUUCCUCCGUGCUUAUCUUUUGAAUUUUCUCUCUUCAGCUCUCUUUUUGCUCUUGCUGCUGAUAGCGAUGGACGAAAAGUUGUUGCUGCAAAAUCUUUCCUUUCUGCGUUGCUUCAAGAUGAUCACAUAUAUGACUCAUUUUUGUUUCACAUCUCUUCUUUCCACCUUUUCUCCUUGCUACCCUUUCUUUCUCUUUACUGAAAGCGAACCUUUUUUUCUACCUCUUAGCAUUUCUUCGGUUGAAUGCCCGAGUUCACGAAAAGCUGUGAAGGUGAACCGUGUUAUCAGCAGCGUAUUCUUCCCACUACCUCUAUCACUUUCUUCUAACACUUCCGCACACACACACACACAUAAACACACAAUUUCGGUGUGCGAAUGCAAACCUGAGCGAGUGCAAAGCGUGAUUCCCAUAACUAUGAGCGUCACUGCGCAUUUACAUUUUAUUGUUUGCUUUUCCUUUUUUUUAACUCUGCGGCAUGUCAUGCGAAAAGAUGAGUGCACAUGGCGUGCUUCCUGCGUGAGGCUUGGCUUGCCUUGCACGCGCAAGGUGACCCAGCGUCGCGGUAGGAAAUGGAUGCUGAUGUCGUCUGAAAAAGAAGCAGGCGAAGUGCUAUAGGGUUUCGUCGCUAAAAGCCUUCCGGUGGCAAAC